CACGUAGGAGACGAGCGUUAUCCGGAUUUACUGGGCGUAAAGCGCGGGUAGGUGGGGUCUUAAGUCAUGCGUGAAAGCUCUCGGCUUAACCGGGAGAGGUCGUGUGAAACUGGGGCUCUCAGAGGUAGGUAGAGGCAGAUGGAAUUCCAGGUGUAGCGGUGAAAUGCGUAGAGAUCUGGAGGAACACCGAUGGCGAAGGCAGCCUUCUGGGCCAACACUGACGCUCAUGCACGAAAGCGUGGGGAGCAAACAGG
rnacentral:rRNA from 1 species